GCUCCCUUAUCUCAGUAGGUAAGAGAAGCCGCCUCAUAAGCGGAAGGUCGCCGGUUCAAGCCCGGCAGGGAGCA
rnacentral:tRNA from 2 species